rnacentral:lncRNA from 1 species
GUGGGGCUGAGGGCAUGGUUGGAUGGACAGCAGCUGUUGGAUAUCGGUCACACUCCGUGUGUGAGAUGGGAUUUGUCAGAUCCUUCAUCAAGAACAAGGUUUCCAGAUACCCCAUGCAAACCCCAAAACCCAAAGGAGUAAUAAGUGUGUGGAAUAGAGGAAAUGCUCAGAAGACUCAGAAGCCUAGUUCAAGAGAAACCAGCACAAGCAGACUCAGAAGACCCUGGCAGAACAGAGCACUUGCAGUGGGGGGCUGGGGUUGAUGCUGAAGUGAUGUGACAUCAAAGCAGGCUCAGAGCAGUCAUUCCCAGGUCUCAAAUAACAGGAGGGAAUUUUCAGAUCAGUUUGUCUGGCCAAACACAAUGUCUACAGGCACAGCUCUGGAACUGGACUGAACACCCUUGGCUCUCUCUGCAUGCACUGAAUGACACAUUUUAGCCCUUUGGGCUGUGUUCAUCCUACAGUCACCGAGUGAAGUUUGGAUGGUCUUGCCAUAGAAAUGCAUAUUUGUAAUAAAGAACCUGAGUAACCAGCUCA